rnacentral:rRNA from 1 species
GAAACGACUGCUAAUACCGCAUAAGCCCACGGCUCGGCAUCGAGCAGAGGGAAAAGGAGCAAUCCGCUUUGAGAUGGCCUCGCGUCCGAUUAGCUAGUUGGUGAGGUAACGGCCCACCAAGGCGACGAUCGGUAGCCGGACUGAGAGGUUGAACGGCCACAUUGGGACUGAGACACGGCCCAGACUCCUACGGGAGGCAGCAGUGGGGAAUAUUGCACAAUGGGGGAAACCCUGAUGCAGCGACGCCGCGUGGAGGAAGAAGGUCUUCGGAUUGUAAACUCCUGUUGUUGAGGAAGAUAAUGACGGUACUCAACAAGGAAGUGACGGCUAACUACGUGCCAGCAGCCGCGGUAAAACGUAGGUCACAAGCGUUGUCCGGAAUUACUGGGUGUAAAGGGAGCGCAGGCGGGAGAACAAGUUGGAAGUGAAAUCCAUGGGCUCAACCCAUGAACUGCUUUCAAAACUGUUUUUCUUGAGUAGUGCAGAGGUAGGCGGAAUUCCCAGUGUAGCGGUGGAAUGCGUAGAUAUCGGGAGGAACACCAGUGGCGAAGGCGGCCUACUGGGCACCAACUGACGCUGAGGCUCGAAAGUGUGGGUAGCAAACAGGAUUAGAUACCCUGGUAGUCCACACCGUAAACGAUGAUUACUAGGUGUUGGAGGAUUGACCCCUUCAGUG